rnacentral:rRNA from 1 species
UACGUAGGGGGCAAGCGUUGUCCGGAAUCAUUGGGCGUAAAGAGCGUGUAGGCGGCCCGGUAAGUCCGCUGUGAAAGUCCAGGGCUCAACCCUGGGAUGCCGGUGGAUACUGUCGGGCUCGAGUCCGGAGGAGGAGUGUGGAAUUCCUGGUGUAGCGGUGAAAUGCGCAGAUAUCAGGAAGAACACCCGUGGCGAAGGCGGCUCUCUGGGACGGUACUGACGCUGAGACGCGAAAGCGUGGGGAGCGAACAGG